rnacentral:miRNA from 1 species
CGGCUCUGGCGCUGGCCCCAGC